GGUGAACGCUGGCGGCGUGCCUAAUACAUGCAAGUCGAGCGAACGGACGAGAAGCUUGCUUCUCUGAUGUUAGCGGCGGACGGGUGAGUAACACGUGGAUAACCUACCUAUAAGACUGGGAUAACUUCGGGAAACCGGAGCUAAGACCGGAUAAUAUUUUGAACCGCAUGGUUCAAAAGUGAAAGAAGGUCUUGCUGUCACUUAUAGAUGGAUCCGCGCUGCAUUAGCUAGUUGGUAAGGUAACGGCUUACCAAGGCAACGAUGCAUAGCCGCCCUGAGAGGGUGAUCGGCCACACUGUAACUGAGACACGGUCCACACUCCUACGGGAGGCAGCAGUAGGGAAUCUUCCGCAAUGGGCGAAAGCCUGACGGAGCAACGCCGCGUGAGUGAUGAAGGUCUUCGGAUCGUAAAACUAUGUUAUUAGGGAAGAACAUAUGUGUAAGUAACUGUGCACAUCUUGACGGUACCUAAUCAGAAAGCCACGGCUAACUACGUG
rnacentral:rRNA from 1 species